rnacentral:rRNA from 1 species
UGGGGAAUCUUCCGCAAUGGACGAAAGUCUGACGGAGCAACGCCGCGUGAGUGAAGAAGGUUUUCGGAUCGUAAAACUCUGUCUUUUGGGGCGAACGUGAGUAUGGUGAACAAUCAUAGUCAGUGACGGUACCAAAGGAGGAAGCCACGGCUAACUACGUGCCAGCAGCCGCGGUAAUACGUAGGUGGCAAGCGUUGUCCGGAAUUAUUGGGCGUAAAGAGCGCGUAGGCGGGAUAGUCAGUCUGUUGUAAAAGUGCGGGCUCAACCCCGUGAUCGCAAUGGAAACAGCUAUUCUUGAGUGCAGGAGAGGAAAGUGGAAUUCCCAGUGUAGCGGUGAAAUGCGUAGAUAUUGGGAGGAACACCAGUGGCGAAGGCGACUUUCUGGACUGUGUCUGACGCUGGGGCGCGAAAAGCCAGGGGGAGCGAACGGGGAUUAGAUACCCCCGGUAGUCCUGGCCGUAAACGAUGGGUACUAGGUGUGGGAGGUAUCGACCCCUUCCGUGCCGGAGUUAACGCAAUAAGUACCCCGCCUGGGGAGUACGGUCGCAAGACUGAAACUUAAAGGAAUUGACGGGGUCAUAGCUGUUUCCUG